rnacentral:rRNA from 1 species
UACAGAGGUCCCAAGCGUUGUUCGGAUUCAUUGGGCGUAAAGGGCGCGUAGGCGGCUUGGCAAGUGGAUGGUGAAAUCCCUCGGCUUAACCGAGGAACUGCCGUCCAAACUGCUUCGCUUGAGACCGGGAGAGGUGAGUGGAAUUCCCAGUGUAGCGGUGAAAUGCGUAGAUAUUGGGAGGAACACCAGUGGCGAAGGCGGCUCACUGGACCGGUACUGACGCUGAUGCGCGAAAGCGUGGGGAGCAAACGGG